AGAGUUUGAUCAUGGCUCAGGAUGAACGCUAGCUACAGGCUUAACACAUGCAAGUCGAGGGGCAGCAUGUUGGUUGCUUGCAACCAACGAUGGCGACCGGCGCACGGGUGAGUAACGCGUAUCCAACCUACCCUUGUCCAUCGGAUAACCCGUCGAAAGGCGGCCUAACACGAUAUGCGGUUCACGGCAGGCAUCUAAGGUGAACGAAAUGUGAAGGAGAAGGAUGGGGAUGCGUCUGAUUAGCUUGGUUGGCGGGUAACGGCCACCAAGGCUACGAUCGAGUAGGGGUUCUGGAGAGGAAGGUCCCCCACAUUGGAACUGAGACACGGUCCAAACGUCCUACGGGAGCA
rnacentral:rRNA from 1 species